CCUGGGAGCGUCGGGCUGGGGGCUGCUUCCCCGUGCGCUGCCCACCCUGUGGUCCGCCGUGAGGUGGCAGCACCUCGCUGUCCUGGGCCCACAUAGCAGGUGCUUGGGAAGCAGCCGCUGGUGUCUAGGUCAUCACCCAGCAUGGAGGAGGCGGUGGGAACCACCGCUGGGCUGUGUGUCGUCUGGCACAGGGCCUGGCGUCAGAGCAGUGGCUGACUGGCCCGUGUGUGGGCACAGAGGUCCAGCCAGAGACGCCCGAGUGUCGCACACAGCUGGGCCGUGGAGAGAUGAGUGGCUGCCGUGUCGCCCAGAGGGCACGUGCCACACCUGGAGCCAUCCCUGUCAGCUGGGCCCUGCUGAGGCAGGUGACAGGUGUGUGGUUUAAGAGGUGACCUCGCUGUCACCCAAGGGGACAGGCAGACAAAGUGACACCGAGCACCCUGUGGCUGCCGUGACAGCCAGAGUGUUUUGCAGCCACGAGGUUUGUUGGACACCAGUGAGCCAGCGAGGUGGGGCGAGGGCCAAGGGUCCCGAGGGAUCUGACUGUCCCGGCCUGGGGCAGCUGGGAGGACCCGGGGUCACGGCUGACAGCUGGUCACAGCUGAGUUGGCAGGGCUUGUGUCUCCAGAAUGAAGCAUUUGAUGGAACCAAGGAGGAGGAAGGCGGCCGGGCUGUCAGUUCCAGCAGGAGGUCCUGGCCCCCACAGGGACCCCGUCCAGGUGUGGCCCUGGGCACUCAGGCCAGC
rnacentral:lncRNA from 1 species